GAGACACCCCUAUGGGGCACAACUUGCUUCAGUGGGGCUUUGGUACUCACUGAGAGUGUGCCUUGAGUGUGUCACU
rnacentral:pre_miRNA from 1 species